rfam:Gammaproteobacteria bacterium MedPE Gammaproteobacteria-MedPE-C68, whole genome shotgun sequence.
GCGACUUUAGCUCAGCUGGUAGAGCGCGACCUUGCCAAGGUCGAGGUCACG